rnacentral:lncRNA from 1 species
GACUUGUUUUAUUCACCAAUCAAAAUGACUUUUAGAAUACUUAUUUUUAUAAGGACAGUUUCUAUUGGUUAGAUCUCUUUUACCUUAUUCACAUUUUUGCAUUGUUUGGGGUUACUAUUUUUAAUUACUUAAUACUUUGUUUUUACGACCAUUAGGGAAAUCCGAUUAUUUAGUUAGAAAGAAUUCUAGGUGAACAAUAGGGAAGAAUUAGAUAUAUUUGCUAAAGGAAAUACUUCUAAGAGUUUAAGCUGUCAAACCUUAUUUAUAUCGCUAAGUGUCAAAUAAGAAGAAUUUCACAUCUAAUACUUAUAUAUAAAAAGUUAC